AUGGCAGAGUUGGAUCCACAAACUUUAAAUGGGCAUAAUGAACAACUCCUCCUCAUGUUGAUGAGAAGGUCGUGGGAGGAAAAAGAAAAGACUCGAGUGAGCUCUAACGUUCCACCUCUCACUCCACUAAAUCAUCUGGCCUCUUUGGUGGGUGGAGCAUCCCCUCUCAGCUCUCUGAGGACUUCCCCAACCCCAGCCUGCAGGAUCAGUGGGAGGCGGAGACUUGCCCCAGGAAGGAGGCCUGUGGUGUCAACAGGGCCACAAGUCAGAUACCUCCACCAGGAAAGCAGGUGGAACAAGACUGCUAUUAUGAGCCAACGGAAUCAACAGGCGAGCUACAGGCGGGAGGCCAGCGUUGAGAUCUGCAGUUUCAUCAUGGUCGGAAGAUGUAGAAAUACCCACAGAACAAAAGCUGCACCUCUUUCAUCCCUUUUGACCUCUCGGGAGGUGCUCACCCCGUGGCCUUUUUACUAGAAGAGUGUUUGCACCUCCUUGCCUCCACACAGGUUUUCUACCUAAAAUUAAACAGUAACCUCCGUGGCUGCACAUCCUGGCAGGCUGCAGACUCUCAGACCACGAGGGCCACGCAGACACCCAAGACGAGAGUCUGCGCUGGCUGACGGGUGGCAAGCAAAACAGCUUUGGACUGGACUUUCUUUUUUUUAACAGCUUAAUUGAGGUAUAAUUUACAUACCAUAAAAUUCACCCAUUUUAAGAAAAUUAAGUGUGCCGUUCCUUGGUCUAUCUAUAGUCUAUUUACAGAAUUGUGUAUUGGCUGUAUCUUUUUUUAGAAUGAUAGAGCCAAUACGCAACUGGAUAAACACUUUGACCCCAAGCCCGCCCUCCCCACUUGGAAAGCUGACGAUGGAAAUAGCAGACAGCAGACUCUGUUUUAACCCUAAAAAUAGCGGCAUUCAUUUCAUUGCACCGUUUACAACUUACUUCCUGUGUUUUGAUUCAGAGCGGCUCAUAUCUGCUUCUCAGAAGUCAAGUUGUUUAGUUAUAACACUGGAGGGUUAUUUUGUUUGUUUAGUGUUUGGUGUUUUCAGAUCUUUGUUUUAUCUGCGAAGCUACAGUGGCUUGAAAUGUCUCCUGGUGGUAUAACAGGCUAUACAGAAAUAUUUGGUAUUUAGAGCUUGAAUGUUGUUCAUUGCAUUCUGACUUUCGAGGUUGACAUAAAGAGAUUUAGAAAUAUAAAUAGUGCGCAGAGGCCUAGAACUUCUUUCUACUAUCAAAAUCUUAUUUUAUGAAGUUCUGAUACAUGAGACAACAUGGAUGUACCUUGAAGACAUCCUGUUAAGUGAAAUACGCCAGGCACAUAAGGACAGCUACUGCAUGAUUUCUCUUAGAUGAAGUAUCUAGAACAAGCAAAUACACAGAGACAGUAGAUUAUAGGUUACCAGGGGCUGGGGGAGGAGCAAUGGGGAGUUAAUGCUUAACAGAUACAGAGUUAUUGCUUGAUGGGUACAGAGUUUCUCUUUGGAGUGAUGAAAAUUUUGGGUAAUGGAUGGUGGUACUGGUUGCAAAAUAUUGUGAAUAGAAUUAAUAUUACAACUGUAUACAUGACAGUGGUUAAAUGGGGAA
ensembl:lincRNA